AGUUUAAAGAAAAAUAUUUUAAAUAAAUUCUGCUCAAUGAAAUUAAUUAAAUAGCCGCAGUAAAUUAACUGUGCUAAGGUAGCAUAAUAAUUAGUUUUUUAAUUAAAAACUAGAAUGAAAGAGAAAAUGAAAAAUUAACUUUUUAAUUAUAAUAAAUAAAUAUAAAUUAAUUUAUAAGUUAAAAAUCUUAUAUAAAAUAAAAAGACAAGAAGACCCUUUAGAAUUUUAUAAAUAAAAAAAUUUAAUAAUUAUAAAUUUGAAUAUUUAUUAAGUUGGGGAGACUAUGAAAUAUUAAAAACUUUCACUUUUUUAAAACAAAAAUAAAUGAAUCUAUAAAUAUCCAGUUAACAGCCGAAUAAAAAACAAAUUACCUAAGGGAUAACAGCGUAAAAUUUCUAAAAAGAUCAAAUUUACAGAAUAAAUUACGACCUCGAUGUUGGAUUAAGAAAAAAUUAUAAAGAAGAAUUUAUAAAAAUUAGGUCUGUUCGACCUUUAAUCUCUU
rnacentral:rRNA from 1 species